rnacentral:lncRNA from 1 species
UUUGAUUUAAUUUUCUUAAUUGGGCUCCACACCAUAUGGAAACUUGACUACUUAAAAGGUUGCUGCGAAACCAAUGGGUCAGCAAUGGCGACGGAGCCUUUAAAUGUUCGGCCCACUAACAAAGGGCACAGACCCAUUGAUUUCAUAGGUUGAGCACCAUAUUGACUAGUCAUCAAGAAAUUAUGGAUGCCCGUUGUUGCAUACUAGUGUUCAUGUCGAUCCUCGGCGUCCUACUAUCACAUAGCAGUCACCUAAUCGACGCCACUGAAGCUGUUUCGGGUCCUUCUUCUGCUAAUACCUAUAAUCCUUCCUUCGAUUUUCCUUACAAGUUCGAGGCUGUGUCCAGAAGGCAGCUGAAACAUGGCAUAUCACCACCACCUCCGCCUAUUCCUAAUUAUACUAUUAUUCACCCCAAAUCACCCCCGACUCCGCCUCCUCCAUCUCUUCCGCGGCCAUUCUCGACACCAUCACCACCGCAACCACCAAUGUCAACAUAGCUUGCUUCUGUUAAAAAAUUAGAAAAUAAAAAGCUAAAUAUAUCUCGAAGUUUGACGCAGCUAAUAGGUAUUCCUCUGCUAUUAUUUCUUGGAUGAAGAACAGAAAUGAUUAAAGAGCUCCGCAACAGAAUUCUACUCAAACGAUCAUUUGCUUCCAAGAUUUUAUAAAUUAAUUUGUUUGUCGUGUGUGUUUACAGAAGUGAACUACUUAAAUGGCCUGGCUUGCUUAUUUUAGUCCACUACUCCUGAUAUUGCUUUUCUCUGUUUUCUCUUCCUCCUCUACUUUUAUCUUUGCAGACUUUUUUACUGUUCAAUUUCUUUUGAGAUAAGGAACGAAUUCCGUUUACUAUGAUUUAAUAUUAAAUUUGUCGUUAUAAUUUCAUUUAGCUUGUUGUUGUACUUUUAAUUUUUACUAAAAUUUUAACAAAAGAUAAUGGAAUGGAAAUAUUUCAUAAAUCUUUUAUUAAUAUAAAUGAUAAAUUUUAUGGUUUUAUUUUAAUUUCAUCUAUUUUUUAACAAAAAAUUGAUAACAAUAGAGUAUUUUACAU